AUUGAACGCUGGCGGCAGGCCUAACACAUGCAAGUCGAACGAGUGGCGGACGGGUGAGUCAUGUCUGGGAAACUGCCCGAUGGAGGGGGAUCACUACUGGAAACGGUAGCUAAUACCGCAUACCAUCGGAUGUGCCCAUAUGGGAUUAGCUGGGAGGUGGGGUAACGGCUCACCUAGGCGACGAUCCCUAGCUGGUCUGCGAGGAUGACCAGCCACACUGGAAUGGAGACCCGGUCCAGACUCCUUCGGGAGGGAGCAUGGGGGAAUAGUGCACAAUGGGCGCAAGCCUGAUGAAGCCAUGCCGCGUGUAUGAAGAAGGCCUUCGGGUUGUAAAGUACUUUCAGCGAGGAGGCUUUACUCGCAGAAGAAGCACCGGCUAACUCCGUGCCAGCAGCCGCGGUUAUUC
rnacentral:rRNA from 1 species